rnacentral:lncRNA from 1 species
CUGAGAAUAAAAUUAAAACCCCUCGUCACUUACUAGUGAGCCGGAAAGCUUAGGGACGCCUCUCGUUCCUCUUCUCCCAUUUGACAACCGUAUCUCAGAAUGUUCGGAUGAUUCUCUGGAACUAAUAUAUGCUUUAUUUUUUUUAAAGAAUGGGGAUAUAUCGUUGGGAAAAAGCAGAAGAAAAGGAUUUAACGGGCAGAAGAAGGGAAGUUCGGAAAAGCCUAGCCUAGCAGACGGGACUAUCAACUCCUUUCUAUUACGAUCUCGGCACCUUCCUUACCCCCCUACGCAAAAUUUACCCCUAUUUUGAAGAGGAAAGCUCCCAGGUUCCGCAUCUUAAAAAAGUGCAUGACCAGAUUGAUUGGAAGAAUUCGCAACAGGCCAACAAUUGUAUCGAGCUACAGGCCCUUCUCAUAAGAUGUUGUAAGCUACGGGCCAUAAAAUGUCCGACGAAGCUUAAAGCAGACAUAAAGAGCUAACUAAGAAGGGGGCCAACAAGCCCCUUUAAAGCAAAUGCCUGUGAGAAGCCUUAGAAGUUACAGGACAUAGAAGCAGGCCUAAGCAGCACCUAAGAAGCUGGUCAAGAAGUGGAUUGAAUCUUUUCCAGUCUAGAGACUGGCGGAUUACCCUCGAAAGAAAGGAUUCAAAUCUUCCUUCUGCUUUGAACAAGAUAAGUGGACAGAUGAGUUGAAUAAU